AUUGAACGCUGGCGGCAUGCCUUACACAUGCAAGUCGAACGGCAGCACGGGAGCAAUCCUGGUGGCGAGUGGCGAACGGGUGAGUAAUAUAUCGGAACGUGCCUAGUCGUGGGGGAUAACUAUCCGAAAGGAUGGCUAAUACCGCAUACGCCCUGAGGGGGAAAGCGGGGGAUCGUAAGACCUCGCGCUAAUAGAGCGGCCGAUGUUCGAUUAGCUAGUUGGUGGGGUAAAGGCUCACCAAGCCAACGAUCUGUAGCUGGUCUGAGAGGACGACCAGCCACACUGGGACUGAGACACGGCCCAGACUCCUACGGGAGGCAGCAGUGGGGAAUUUUGGACAAUGGGCGCAAGCCUGAUCCAGCAAUGCCGCGUGCAGGAAGAAGGCCUUCGGGUUGUAAACUGCUUUUGUACGGAACGAAACGGCUCUCUCUAAUACAGGGGGUUAAUGACGGUACCGUAAGAAUAAGCACCGGCUAACUACGUGCCAGCAGCCGCCGUAACAC
rnacentral:rRNA from 1 species